rnacentral:rRNA from 1 species
AGCUGAGUUUGACCUGGCGCAGGAUGAACGCUAGCGGCAGGCCUAACACAUGCAAGUCGAGGGGUAGAGUUCUUCGGAGCUAGAGACCGGCGCACGGGUGCGUAACGCGUAUGCAAUCUACCUUUUACAGAGGGAUAGCCCAGAGAAAUUUGGAUUAAUACCUCAUAGUAUUUUCGAAUCGCAUGAUUUGAUUAUUAAAGUUCCAACGGUAAAAGAUGAGUAUGCGUCCCAUUAGUUAGUUGGUAAGGUAACGGCUUACCAAGACAAUGAUGGGUAGGGGUCCUGAGAGGGA